ACUCCUACGGGAGGCAGCAGUGGGGAAUCUUGCGCAAUGGGCGAAAGCCUGACGCAGCCAUGCCGCGUGAAUGAUGAAGGUCUUAGGAUUGUAAAAUUCUUUCACCGGGGACGAUAAUGACGGUACCCGGAGAAGAAGCCCCGGCUAACUUCGUGCCAGCAGCCGCGGUAAUACGAAGGGGGCUAGCGUUGCUCGGAAUUACUGGGGCGUAAAGGGAGCGUAGGCGGACAUUUAAGUCAGGGGUGAAAUCCCGGGGCUCAACCUCGGAAUUGCCUUUGAUACUGGAUGUCUUGAGUGUGAGAGAGGUAUGUGGAACUCCGAGUGUAGAGGUGAAAUUCGUAGAUAUUCGGAAGAACACCAGUGGCGAAGGCGACAUACUGGCUCAUUACUGACGCUGAGGCUCGAAAGCGUGGGGAGCAAACAGGAUUAGAUACCCUGGUAGGAUAGCG
rnacentral:rRNA from 1 species